CGGUAGUUGCCCGGACUGGUAACGGGGUACAAGCCUGACGAGGCCAUGUAUUGAUGUAGGUUCGAUUCCUGCACUACCGA
rnacentral:tRNA from 1 species